rnacentral:rRNA from 1 species
AGCCCGAUGAACCUGAAUAUCCAUUAUGAAAAAUUCAUCAUUAUGCCUGCGAUAUUAUUUAUAAUAUUGUAGUAAUAGUGUGCAUUUUUUUCAUAUAAGGACAUUGUAAUCUAUUAACAUUUAAAUAUAUUUAUCAAAAGAUCAUUGGCUUAAGUUUAUUCAAAUUAAUUUGCUUCUGCUUAUUAACAUAGAAUAAAUGCUUAUGAUUUGAUAAAGUGUUGAUAGAUUUAUUAUAUAUAAUGCUCAAAUUUUUUAAAUUUUACAAUAACAUUAGAAUCUAUGAUUUUAGCGUUUAUUGUAUGCAUUUAUAUGAUUAACAAUGCGAAAGAUUCAGGAUACCUUCGGGACCCGUCUUGAA